UGCCCUUGUGUUGAUUGCCGCA
rnacentral:siRNA from 1 species